AACAGGAUUAGAUACCCUGGUAGUCCACGCUGUAAACGAUGUCGAUUUGGAGGUUGUGCCCUUGAGGCGUGGCUUCCGGAGCUAACGCGUUAAAUCGACCGCCUGGGGAGUACGGCCGCAAGGUUAAAACUCAAAUGAAUUGACGGGGGCCCGCACAAGCGGUGGAGCAUGUGGUUUAAUUCGAUGCAACGCGAAGAACCUUACCUACUCUUGACAUCCAGAGAACUUUCCAGAGAUGGAUCGGUGCCUUCGGGAACUCUGAGACAGGUGCUGCAUGGCUGUCGUCAGCUCGUGUUGUGAAAUGUUGGGUUAAGUCCCGCAACGAGCGCAACCCUUAUCCUUUGUUGCCAGCGGUUCGGCCGGGAACUCAAAGGAGACUGCCAGUGAUAAACUGGAGGAAGGUGGGGAUGACGUCAAGUCAUCAUGGCCCUUACGAGUAGGGCUACACACGUGCUACAAUGGCGUAUACAAAGAGAAGCGACCUCGCGAGAGCAAGCGGACCUCAUAAAGUACGUCGUAGUCCGGAUUGGAGUCUGCAACUCGACUCCAUGAAGUCGGAAUCGCUAGUAAUCGUAGAUCAGAAUGCUGCGGUGAAUACGUUCCCGGGCCUUGUACACACCGCCCGUCACACCAUGGGAGUGGGUUGCAAAAGAAGUAGGUAGCUUAACCUUCGGGAGGGCGCUUACCACUUUGUGAUUCAUGACUGGGGUGAAGUCGUAACAAGGUAGCCGUAGGGGAACCUGCGGCUGGAUCACCUCCUU
rnacentral:rRNA from 1 species